UCAGAAAUUAUCGAAUAAUUAAUUGAAUAAUCAAACAUUUAAUCAAUUUGAUGAAUUAUGAAACCAAGAUUAAUCAUGACUAAUCACUGACCUUAUAUAUGAUGAUUAUUAUUUAGGGUCUUAAUUUGAAAUAAAAUGAAUAUUUAAUCCAGAAAAUUAACUCUUUCUAAAAUUUGAUAUAUUAACAAAAUUCCAAAAAAUUAACUCUUCUUAAAUUUGAAAAUUGGAUUGUUUUGUUCUGGACCAACAGCUCCUUAUUUAUAAUGGUUAUGUAGAUGUAGAUAAGAAAAGGAAUGCUAACCCAUCAAAGCUCAUCUCACGGAUCUUGCCCUCCUUCUGACCCAAACACAUGCCACAACAUUUUCUGUCUACCCCCCCUCUACUUUUUUAUAUUCUUCUUCCAAUUUUAAAGGGCGUUGUGUUGUGAGUGUAUAUAUAUAGAUUAUAGGGCAAGGCAAGCUGUACUUGAAGCCUCAAGGAACUAAGGAACAAACUCAUCUCAUUUUAAAGUACGUACUUUCUAAAUUCUACUUCCAACAGAAUGACUUCUUCUCCUUCCAACACUUCCUGGGUGAGAACCAUCAAGUCUCCGUUCAGGAAAGCUCGUACUCUCUUCAACAAUAAUCAGAACCCCUCCGCGGCUACCACUAAAGCUCAUAAACGCAACAAGUCCCGCCAGCCUCAAGGGCAGGAUGAUGAUAAGAAGAUGAUAGAUCUUCAGCUUGAAGGAGAAGUGAUGGCAUGCACUUAUGAGGAUGUUCAGGUCAUGUGGUCUAUUCUAGACAAAGCCAACAAUAAGCCCAGAUCAUCACUCUGCAAUGUUAAUACAUGAUCUAUCAGUACUCGAGAGCCUUGGCCUCUCCACCCAUUAGUAUCACCAGCAAAGUAGGUAGUUUAUAUUGUAUAUGUAUAUAUAUCAUACUUGCGCAAAGUAUGUUUCUUGUUGAAAAUUCCGAUCAGGUGGUGACAGAGAGAGAAGCUAUUUUCUAAGAAACAAGAUUCCCAAACAAGAAAAGGCCAGCAAGGGAAACAUACAGAGGGUGUGUAAUUAUCAAAGCUGAACCAUUCGUCUUCAUCCUUAAACUCUGAUGAUCGAUGUACUCUGUAAAUUUUUCUAUGUUUUGAUAAUUGUCACACCUCCUACCUAUAGGAAUCCCCGUGAUGAAAUAAGAGAAUCAUGGUGAGAUUUUUCACUUUA